GAUGAAGAACGUAGUGAAAUGCGAUAAAUAAUAUGAAUUGCAGAAUUCAGCGAAUCAUCGAGUUUUUGAACGCACAUUGCGCCCUCUGGUAUUCCGGAGGGCAUGUCCGACCGAGCGUCGCGUCACCGCUCAAGCCCCCCCGGGGGCUUGGUGUUGGGGCCUCGCGGGUGCUCCGGCCCCGCGGCCCUCAAAUGCAGUGGCGGUCCCCCGUGGGCUUCCCCUAGCGCAGUAAAGCAAUCGCUGUCGCUUCGGGGCCCCGGGGCGGCCUGCCGUAAAACGCACCCCGAUUUUCAAUGGUUGGCCUCGGGUCGGACAAGAUUACCCGCUGAACUUAAGCAUAUCAAUAAGCGGAGGA
rnacentral:misc_RNA from 1 species